rnacentral:lncRNA from 1 species
AGGUGGAAGGGGGAAGCAGGCUAAAAAGCAGUUUUUAGGGUUUCAGAUAUGUAAUUGUGGCAGCAGGCACAGCAUCAGGGUAAAUCUUCCUUUUGACUUCCUCAGAACACCAGUUGAGAUUUAUACGCUGCUCCAGAGAACUCUGCUCUACAUUGUCAGAAACCAGCUUUCAGCUUGGGUUCCAGGAUGAAGACAUGUGGAACAGAACCCGAACUUGAACCUCAGCUUUGGCAUCCGGCUUAACCUUUGCCAAGGCCAGCCUGCAGAACCCAGCCAGGAGUAGCUAAACCACAGUCAACCUGCAAAUCCAUGAAGGAUAUACUCAGAGAAGAAUCACGAGUGCCAAGAGAGACCAUGAGGCAAACUGCUCUCCAUUGAAGGUAUACCAGCCUACCCUUCGUGAGCUAAACACAACCUCACUCUUGCCAGCAUUGUAACUGACUUUUUAAAUCUAGUAAUCUGCACUUCUUUGAUGCCAUGAAGUCAGUAUUAUUUUCAUGUCUUGGCCAUCUUAAGUUCCUGUUUUGUGAAUAUUCUAUUCCUAUUCCUUGUUAUAAAGGUUUUCAGAGUUAAGACAUGUUAAAUAGAAAUUAUUUUGGAAGGUUCUGUGAUUCAAAAUAUCAA